rnacentral:rRNA from 1 species
AAAAACAUGGCUUUUUGAAUUUAAUUUAAAGUCUAGCCUGCUCAAUGAGUUUUAAAUAGCCGCAGUACCCUGACUGUGCAAAGGUAGCAUAAUCAUUAGUUUUUUAAUUGAAAGCUGGAAUGAAAGGUUGAAUGAGAAAAUAGCUGUCUCUAUAAAAAUUUUAUAGAAUUUUAUUUUUAAGUUAAAAAGCUUAAAUUUUAAUAAAAGACGAGAAGACCCUAUAGAGUUUUAUAUUUAUAAAUGAUGUAUUUUUACUUUAGUAUUUUAAAUUAUAUUAUUUUAUAAUAUUUGGUUGGGGUGAUUAGAAAAUUAAAUAAACUUUUCUUUAAAUUUAAACAUUUAUUUAUGAUAUUAUGAUCCUUUUAUAAAGAUUAUAAGAUAAAAUUACCUUAGGGAUAACAGCGUAAUUUUUUUUGAGAGUUCUUAUCGAAAAAAAAGAUUGCGACCUCGAUGUUGGAUUAAAUUAAAUUUUUGGUGUAGAAGCUAAAUUGAUUAGGUCUGUUCGACCUUUAAAAUUUUACUUGAUCUGAGUU